AUUAAAUCCAGUGCUCUGUCACAGAGCUACACUCCCACCCCACCUCCAUUUUCCUGAACUAUAUCAUUGUGACUCAUCAUGGUGUCAGAGAAGCCACAGUUCUGAUGGAAGUAUGCAUUAUGUGGGCCAGAAGGUGGUGUCCUAUGGCUCUACCAUCAAGCAUACAGCAGAUACAGAUGAGCGUUUACUCCAGUACGAUGACAGGGGAAGUGCUGAAAAUGCAUUCAACUGGAAGAUGUCUGGUGUCAGGCUACGGAGGCUGCAAAGUACAGGAACCUUGGGACUGGAGCCGUUCUGCUUCUGUAACUGCGCUUGCCACCCGCGCCCUCACGGCUUACCCCGCUAACCGAUUGCGCCACUGGAGCUCGGGAGAGAGCCAACUUCCUGGUUCUAAAACGGCUUAAAAACUGCAGCUGAAAGAAGUCGGGGGUCCUUCUCGGAGGCUGUGUCCUUGAGAUUGGACUCUGGCCGGCAAAAUAAAAACUUGGCAUUCAAUCUUUUGACUCGCUGCCCAUUUGUUGGCACAACAAGGAAACUAAAAAGUUGAUCUCAUACAAGUAGAGAGUGGAAUACUGGUUACCAGAGCCUGGGAAAUAUGUGGAGGCAGAGACUGGUUAAUGGGCACAGGGGUGCAGUUGGGUAGGAGGAAUAACUUCUAAUGUUCUAUAACACAGUA
rnacentral:lncRNA from 1 species